GGGGACUCGGCCGCCAUGUUAGGAGUGCCGGGAACAGUCCGCGGAUCCUGGCUGAGGUUUUAGGCAGCGCGCGAGCCGAAUGGUGGUGCGGUGGGGACGAGUGUCUACACUAUGAAAGAUGGAAAAUUUCUUUUUCUCCUGAGGUACAACAAUGGGAAAGGCUCAUACAAAUAUUUCUGGUAUUCAGAAACACCUUUGCAAGUAAUUGUGGUUUGGGUAAUUGUUGGACUAGAAAAUAUUUCUUUGCAACAGACACAGAUGCCAAAAUUUAAAAAGUACUUCUGCAUACGUAUAUUCAGUGAAAAAUCAAACUCUACCACAUGGACAAGCAUUGCUUAAUUAAGGUGUGUAAUACAGUUUUGGGGGUUUUUUUUUAGGGAAAUGAACAAAUUAUAUCUUCAUCUAAAGCAUUUGAUUAAAGAAAUUAAGCCCUACAGUACUCUAUUAUAGACAUCCAAAGUAUCAAUAUUUGGGGGCACAGUUUCAAUCCUAAAUCCAUUUCUUAGAUUCUGUAAGUACAUAUUGAGUAAUUACCAACUUAAAUACCCUGGAGAUACAAAGAUGACUAUGAC
rnacentral:lncRNA from 1 species